rnacentral:rRNA from 1 species
GGUGAGUAACACGUGGGUAACCUGCCUGUAAGACUGGGAUAACUCCGGGAAACCGGGGCUAAUACCGGAUGGUUGUUUGAACCGCAUGGUUCAAACAUAAAAGGUGGCUUCGGCUACCACUUACAGAUGGACCCGCGGCGCAUUAGCUAGUUGGUGAGGUAACGGCUCACCAAGGCAACGAUGCGUAGCCGACCUGAGAGGGUGAUCGGCCACACUGGGACUGAGACACGGCCCAGACUCCUACGGGAGGCAGCAGUAGGGAAUCUUCCGCAAUGGACGAAAGUCUGACGGAGCAACGCCGCGUGAGUGAUGAAGGUUUUCGGAUCGUAAAGCUCUGUUGUUAGGGAAGAACAAGUACCGUUCGAAUAGGGCGGUACCUUGACGGUACCUAACCAGAAAGCCACGGCUAACUACG